GAGUUUGAUCCUGGCUCAGAUUGAACGCUGGCGGCAGGCCUAACACAUGCAAGUCGAGCGGUAGAGAGAAGCUUGCUUCUCUUGAGAGCGGCGGACGGGUGAGUAAUGCCUAGGAAUCUGCCUGGUAGUGGGGGAUAACGCUCGGAAACGGACGCUAAUACCGCAUACGUCCUACGGGAGAAAGCAGGGGACCUUCGGGCCUUGCGCUAUCAGAUGAGCCUAGGUCGGAUUAGCUAGUUGGUGAGGUAAUGGCUCACCAAGGCGACGAUCCGUAACUGGUCUGAGAGGAUGAUCAGUCACACUGGAACUGAGACACGGUCCAGACUCCUACGGGAGGCAGCAGUGGGGAAUAUUGGACAAUGGGCGAAAGCCUGAUCCAGCCAUGCCGCGUGUGUGAAGAAGGUCUUCGGAUUGUAAAGCACUUUAAGUUGGGAGGAAGGGCAGUAAAUUAAUACUUUGCUGUUUGACGUUACCGACAGAAUAGGCACCGGCUAACUCUGUGCCAGCA
rnacentral:rRNA from 1 species